rnacentral:lncRNA from 1 species
AAACUUUCAACUAGAAUUAAAAAUUUUGCCAAAAAUUUGAUAAGAUAAUGACUCUUUUGAUUUUGUAGAGGCAUUCAAAAAUAUGAGAAAGUGAGGUUAGUUAUGAACGAUACAGGAGUGAUGAGAUAGUAAUUCGAAAAAAUAUUUUAUUUUUAAAUCGGGGUUCAGCCUUUGCAGCUGGGUUGAAUAUUGAUGAAUUGACCAAAAAAAUCGAGACAUGACAUAUUGUAAAAGGUAAUUUUCUCCACUAAUUAUUAGGAAUGAUAUAUGGGGGUAAAAUUGUACGCGGAGGUUAAGAAAUGUAAGGUUGAAUUUGCUAUGUAUCCCCCUCUGUAUUGAUACUCCAGAUAAGAAUGUUGCCGAGAUACAAAACUUUGAUGCAUCAACUGGUGCAAUUGUAUGAGUUAAAAAGGACACAUAUGGCUAGAAUCAAAAAUUGGUGAUUCGUGUUAUAUACAAAAAAUAUAGAUAACAAAUUACAUAGCUGAUACAAAUAGUAUAGAAGUGAAGGUGGAACAAUUGUACAAGGAUAAACACUACUCCAGUGGUUGUAAUAACAAAACACAAAAUAGAACAUAACUUUAAUUUUCAAGUUACAAGAUCUGAUGAUAAAGACACAUAUUAUUGUGCUUUAAUCAUUUCAUUGGAAAAAUAACUUAAAUACACAACUAUAAUUUUUAUAUUCUCUAAUUUUUCCCACCUUUUUUAAAUAUUACAUAAUUUCCUUUUUUUUAAUUUUAGUGUAAGUUUUUAGAUACAUUACAUUCUCUCUCCUAUAAUACACAUUUACCCAUUUUAAUGCCUAUUUUUUCUCCAUUAAAACACUCAACCUCUUAAAUCAGUUUUUGAAUUUUGAAUUUUAUCCAUUUUAACACUCAACCUUUUAAAUCAGCUUUUUGAUUUUGAAUUAUUAAAUUUAAUUAAUUUUAAAUAAAAGACCAAAUUUUGAAAUUUUGAAUUUCAAAAUUCAAAAAAUUUGAAAUUUAAAAAAGUAAAAAUUUCAGGAAGCAGGACAACUUCUCUUAACUUCUACCGUUUUGUUCUCCAUCAAGUUUAAGUUCUUUUUGCAUGAUCCUAUGAAUCUUCAGAUGGAUUCAAACAAAGACUCUGGCUGUAAGAAGCUCAAUUAAUAGUCUCUUCGGCUUCUUUUCGUAAAGUUAACAUUUCCUUUUUGUUCUAUGUUAAGAUGUAAUCUGGAUUUGAUAAUAUUUCAUUCUUUUACAGAUCUGUACAAACUAGACGUGCUAAACUUGGAAGGGUCUGUUGUUACUGCGUCAUGUUUGGAUUACCUCACAGGUCUGCUUUUACUAUUUUAAUUUCCAUGUUAUCUUACUAGGCCUAGUUUGCGGGACAAACUUUAUGAAGUAAAAGAGAAUUUUUCGGGGAAUUACUUCUCUAUUCUGGGAUUCCAUCACGUUGUUGAAGUUUCUGAUAGUUCGUUUAUCCUAAUGCAGCUCUCACUUCAUUGAAGUCGCUAAACUGUCAAUAGAUCUCACCUUUUAGAUGAUGGAUGCGAGAAGUUUUUGGGUAAGUGGAAGACAUUUGUUAUCUGCCAAAAAGAACUGACUAAAGCAAAACCAUUCCACAUUGUUAGCCAACCGUUUUAUAUCUGCAGCACUCAGCAGUUUGAAAGAGUUAAAUCUGGGAUUUAACAAUAUCACGGAUACAUGAAUUUGUUGUGUAUCAUAAUAUUUUAUAUGUAUCAUGAGGUUUUUAAAAUUAUUAUAAUGUAUCAUUCAAUAAUGCGUCAUCAACUGGGCUUGAGGAUACAUAUAGAAUCAGUGCUUUAGUCAAUGCAUUGAUACAUGUAGUAGAUAUGUAUCACAUGUUUUGCAUGUAGUAUGAAUUCCUGAAAACUGAUAUCAUGUAUCAGUAAGGUAUUAGUUGUUUAGUUGAUGUACUGAUACAUGUUUUGAAAAUUGUUAUAAUGUAUCAUUCACUAAAUUUAAUAAAUGCGUCAUCAACUGUACUUGAUGAUACAUAGAGAAUCAGUGUGUAUAUUGUUUAGUAGAUGUUUCUGAUACAUGUAUUAGAUAUGUAUCACAUGUUAUAAUGUUUUAGUUAAUUCACUGAUACAUGUAGUAGACAUGUAUCACAUGUUUUUCAUGUAGUAUGAAUUUCUGAAAACUGAAACCAUGUAUCAGUAAGUUAUUAGUUGUUUUAUUUAGUAUUUAUAUUUCAAUAUCGUUAUAAUUUGUUGUUUUAAUUUCAAAUUGCAGCCAAUGAAGUACAAGAUUAAAAAGAUACCAAGACAUCCCAUAAUGUUUGUUGUCAAUUUUAACAACAAUUUCCUAAAGGAAAAGAAUGUGAUCAGAUUCCAGGGGGGAGGAGUAUCUUCAGCAGACUGAUUAUGCAAGGAAACUGUACUGCAUAUAAACACCAGAGGCAAAAGCAUCUUCAGCUUCCAAAGACCUUUACUUGCUUCAAAUUCAUACCCUUAGGUCUUGUAGUUAGAGAACUUAUUGUAUUGUCUUUUUAUUCACUAUGUAAGAUUGUUUCUCGUGUUUUGUAGUUGUAGCAUGUAUAGACUUUUUGUAAUUGAUAAGAGUAUAGAUAAUUAUCAUCUAUUUGUUUUGUAUUGAACACUAUUGGAUGAAUAGAGUGCAU